CGUGCUGCAGCGGCUGUGCAGCCGGCUGCUGCCCUGAAGACGCCGGUUCGAAUCCC
rnacentral:tRNA from 16 species